ensembl:snoRNA
CUGCAAGCCUCUGGCAUCCUUGCAUCUGAGUGACCCUGUGCAUUCCUAUGGAGCUUGUGAUAAAAUCAUGAAACAGUUUGAGGUUUUUCUCUGCUCCAUCCAAAGCAAGGCUAUAGAAAUUCCAGACAAUU